rnacentral:rRNA from 1 species
UACGUAGGGUGCGAGCGUUGUUCGGAAUUACUGGGCGUAAAGGGCGCGUAGGCGGUCGUGACAAGUCACUUGUGAAAUCUCCGGGCUUAACUCGGAACGGUCAAGUGAUACUGUCGGACUAGAGUACAGAAGGGGCAACUGGAAUUCUCGGUGUAGCGGUGAAAUGCGUAGAUAUCGAGAGGAACACCUGCGGCGAAGGCGGGUUGCUGGGCUGAUACUGACGCUGAGGCGCGAAAGCCAGGGGAGCGAACGGG